GUCCAAAUUGGGGUCCAAAAUUAAACUUUGUUUGAUUUCAACAAAAAUUGAAUAUAUGGGGUUCUUUGAUAUGCUGAAUCUAACCAUGUAUUUAGAUUUUUUAUUUGUGGACCCCGUUAUCAAAUUGGUUCAUAUUGAGGUCAAAAGGGUCCAAAAUUAAACUUUGUUUGAUUUCAUCUAAAAUUGAAUUAUUGGGGCUCUUUGAUAUUCCAAAUCUAACCGUGUAUUUAGAUUUUUAAUUUUGGGUCCUGUUUUUUAAAUUGGUCUACAUUAAGGUCCAAAGGGUCCAAAAUUAAACUUAGUUUGAUUUUAACAAAAAUUGAAUUCUUGGGGUUCUUUGAUAUGCUGAAUCUAAACAUGUGUUUAGAUUUUUGAUUAUGGGUCCAGUUUUCAAGUUGGUCCAAGAUAGGGUCCAGUAUUUAAACUUUGUUUGAUUUCAACAAAAAUUGAAUAUAUGGGGUUCUUUGAUAUGCUGAAUCUAAACAUGUAUUUAGAUUUUUGAUUAUGGGCCCAGUUUUCAAGUUGGUCCAAAUUGGGGUCCAAAAUGAAACUUUGUUUGAUUUCAACAAAAAUUGAAUAUAUGAGGUUCUUUGAUAUGCUGAAUCUAACCAUGUAUUUAGAUUUUUUAUUUGUAGGCCCCGCUAUCAAAUUGGUUCAUAUUGAGGUCAAAAGGGUCCAAAAUUAAACUUUGUUUGAUUUCAUCAAAAAUUGAAUUAUUGGGGUUCUUUGAUAUGCCAAAUCUAACCGCGUAUUUUGAUUUU